CCUACGGGAGGCUGCAGUGGGGAAUAUUGCACAAUGGGGGAAACCCUGAUGCAGCGACGCCGCGUGAGUGAAGAAGUAAUUCGUUACGUAAAGCUCUAUCAGCAGGGAAGAAACACUGACCUUACGGUCAGCAGACGGUACCUGAGUAAGAAGCCCCGGCUAACUACGUGCCAGCAGCCGCGGUAAUACGUAGGGGGCAAGCGUUAUCCGGAUUUACUGGGUGUAAAGGGAGCGUAGACGGUGCGCCAAGUCUGGAGUGAAAUGCCGCAGCUUAACUGGGGAACUGCUUUGGAAACUGGCGAACUAGAGUGCGGGAGGGGUAAGCGGAAUUCCUAGUGUAGCGGUGAAAUGCGUAGAUAUUAGGAGGAACCCCGAUUGCGAAGGCAGCAUGCCGGCUUCCGACUGACGCUGAAGCACGAAAGCGUGGGGAUCGAACAGGAUUAGAUACCCGGGUAGUC
rnacentral:rRNA from 1 species